rnacentral:rRNA from 1 species
AUACGGAGGGUGCAAGCGUUACUCGGAAUCACUGGGCGUAAAGCGCGCGCAGGCGGUCUUUUAAGUUGGAUGUGAAAGCCUAUGGCUCAACCGUAGAACUGCAUCCAAAACUAUUAGACUAGAGUGUGGGAGAGGAAGAUGGAAUUAGUUGUGUAGGGGUAAAAUCCGUAGAGAUAACUAGGAAUACCAAAAGCGAAGGCAAUCUUCUGGAACACUACUGACGCUGAGGCGCGAAGGCGUGGGGAGCAAACAGGAUUAGAUACCCCAGUAGUCC